GACGAACGCUGGCGGCGUGCCUAACACAUGCAAGUUGAGCGAUGAAGCUUGGUGCUUGCACCAAUUUGAAGAGCAGCGAACGGGUGAGUAACGCGUGGGGAAUCUGCCUUUGAGCGGGGGACAACAUUUGGAAACGAAUGCUAAUACCGCAUAACAACUUUAAACAUAAGUUUUAAGUUUGAAAGAUGCAAUUGCAUCACUCAAAGAUGAUCCCGCGUUGUAUUAGCUAGUUGGUGAGGUAAAGGCUCACCAAGGCGAUGAUACAUAGCCGACCUGAGAGGGUGAUCGGCCACAUUGGGACUGAGACACGGCCCAAACUCCUACGGGAGGCAGCAGUAGGGAAUCUUCGGCAAUGGACGAAAGUCUGACCGAGCAACGCCGCGUGAGUGAAGAAGGUUUUCGGAUCGUAAAACUCUGUUGGUAGAGAAGAACGUUGGUGAGAGUGGAAAGCUCAUCAAGUGACGGUAACUACCCAGAAAGGGACGGCUAACUACGUG
rnacentral:rRNA from 1 species